GGCGGCGUGCUUAACACAUGCAAGUCGAACGGUGAUGCCCAGCUUGCUGGGUGGAUCAGUGGCGAACGGGUGAGUAACACGUGAGCAACCUGCCCCCUACUUCGGGAUAAGCCUUGGAAACGGGGUCUAAUACCGGAUAUGAACGUCUGCCGCAUGGUGGGUGUUGGAAAGUUUUUCGGUGGGGGAUGGGCUCGCGGCCUAUCAGCUUGUUGGUGGGGUAAUGGCCUACCAAGGCGUCGACGGGUAGCCGGCCUGAGAGGGCGACCGGCCACACUGGGACUGAGACACGGCCCAGACUCCUACGGGAGGCAGCAGUGGGGAAUAUUGCACAAUGGGCGAAAGCCUGAUGCAGCGACGCCACGUGAGGGAUGACGGCCUUCGGGUUGUAAACCUCUUUCAGCAGGGAAGAAGCGAAAGUGACGGUACCUGCAGAAGAAGCGCCGGCUAACUACGUGCCAGCAGCCGCGGUAAUACGUAGGGCGCAAGCGUUGUCCGGAAUUAUUGGGCGUAAAGAGCUCGUAGGCGGUCUGUCGCGUCUGGUGUGAAAUCCCAUGGCUCAACUGUGGGCUUGCAUCGGGUACGGGCAGACUAGAGUACUGUAGGGGAGACUGGAAUUCCUGGUGUAGCGGUGGAAUGCGCAGAUAUCAGGAGGAACACCGAUGGCGAAGGCAGGUCUCUGGGCAGUUACUGACGCUGAGGAGCGAAAGCAUGGGGAGCGAACAGGAUUAGAUACCCUGGUAGUCCAUGCCGUAAACGUUGGGCACUAGGUGUGGGGCCAGUUCCACUGGUUCUGUGCCGCAGCUAACGCAUUAAGUGCCCCGCCUGGGGAGUACGGCCGCAAGGCUAAAACUCAAAGGAAUUGACGGGGGCCCGCACAAGCGGCGGAGCAUGCGGAUUAAUUCGAUGCAACGCGAAGAACCUUACCAAGGCUUGACAUGUACGAGAAAGCCCCAGAGAUGGGGUUCUCUUUGGACACUCGUACACAGGUGGUGCAUGGUUGUCGUCAGCUCGUGUCGUGAGAUGUUGGGUUAAGUCCCGCAACGAGCGCAACCCUUAUCCUAUGUUGCCAGCGGGUUAUGCCGGGGACUCAUGGGAGACUGCCGGGGUCAACUCGGAGGAAGGUGGGGAUGACGUCAAAUCAUCAUGCCCCUUAUGUCUUGGG
rnacentral:rRNA from 1 species